rnacentral:lncRNA from 1 species
GAAGAAAACACUUGAAGUUUUAUGACUCUGGCCUCCAGACUACCAUGAGUACAUACUUAUGCAUGUCCACGCACACACACACACACACACACACACACACACACACACACACAUACACACACGGCUUGAGUGUAAGAUGGUAGAGUGCUUGCCUCAGCAUGCAUAAAGCUGUGGGUUUAAUCCCAUUGCUACACUAACUGGGCAUGGUAGCAUACGCCUGCAGUCCUAGCACUGGGGUGGAGGGAGGAGGGUCAGAAGUUCAGAGUCCGUCUCAGCUCCAGUGUAGAUUUGUACACGGCACAGGCUACAGACCCCGUAUUUUAAACAACCAAAACCACAGCUGUGGGAAAGCACUGUGUUUCUGUGUGCUUUGCAUUUCUGUCAUUAGGGAUGGUGUCCUCCAGAUUGACAUGUGCUAACCCGAUUGGAAACAUAAAAUUCUAACCAGUUUCUUCAAACAGGCAUGGCAGAGAGGUAGUGGAGUGCGAGUCACAGAGGUUUUGACAUUUAGAAAUGUCAAAAUAAAAUUUUUCUAUUUUCAAAAAAUUUUGAAGAGUCUACAUUAUUUAUUUAUUUAUUUAUUUAUUUAUUUAUUUAUGAGACAGGAUUUCUUUGUGUAGCCUUGGUUGUCUGUCCUGAAACUUCCUUUCUAGAUCAGGCUGGCCUCAGACGCAGAGAUAACCCCUGCCUCCCGAGUGCCCCGCUUAGAUCAUCAUCUUGGCUGUAUCAGUCUUUCAGUACAGUGACACAGGUUGCAUUGCCUGCAUGGGAAAGGUGCCAGUGACUUUUGUUUUUUACGAGUACAUUAACAGUAUCACCAACAGGCUUAGUGUGAGAAAACAGAAAUUAGGCUGGCAAGAUGCCUCAGCAGUUAAGAGUUUAUACAGACCCUUUUGUAGAGAACUAGAGUUUAGUCCCCAGCACACAUGUCAGGGUUCACAUCCCAGUAACUCUAGCUCCAGGGAGCUUGGGUGCCUGCACACUUGGCAUUUGGACACAUAUACACAUAAAUAAUUUUUAAGGUUAUAAAAAAUAAAUGAAAUGCCCUUUUCAAAGAAAGAAACAACAGAAAUAUAUCUUCUCCCCAUGCUGGCCGCGCUAUCCCCACUCCCAGCAUCUCGACCUCAGCAGCCUGGAAAUGUCUCCAGCCUGCUGCAGUCCUACUGUGGGAAGGGAACUGAGGGGAACACGGGUAUAGUGGCGACACUGCAGACAAAUUUGAGUCAGUGUUGGCAAGACCUAAGACUGACUAGCUACAUGAGGUCCUACUGUGUGCACCAGGCACUGUGUUCUCCCUGUGUCAGAGUCUCCAUUUUCUUUCCUGAGGAACUUGAGGGCAGCAUCUCCUGUUGACAGACAAGGACGCUGAGAACAAGUUGCAAGGACUUGGCCCAUGGCUUCCUAGCCUGAGUCGUGAUCUUAUUCAGUAACUGCUUUUCAUUGAAGUCUGGCAGGUCUUAGCUUCUCAGCUUGGCUUACAGCAAAGUUAGCUGAGCUCGCAACAGGAAGGCCACAGGAAGCGCUUAGGUAGGAGGUGAGUGUCUGAGACUAUAGCAGCUGACCCAGACUGCUGCAUCUGAGGAGGUAGCUCUUUCUCCCCAGGGUCCUUCACACACAGAAGGUGCAGCUGGGCUGAAGGUGGCCUGGGUGUUUGCAGUGCAUGACAGGAGCAGAGUAGGUUUUGUAAAAACUACCUCAGGCUGGCUUUGUCUGACCCUUUUAGGAAGGGUCAGAAACUUGAGACAUUUGACAGCUUUAGUUAAUAAAAAACUAGCAGCUAAUUUACAUACCUUUUAAAUUCUCAUAUUCCUCAUACGUUAUAUUGAAUUCCACAAAUGUCAAUCCAUUGAUGGAUUUAGAAGUAAUUGUAAAUUAGGAACAGGGUCUGAGCUAGCGUGAAGUGUUCCAAUGGCUGUGGCAUCGGGGCCAUCUGUUGCCCUGAAGCAGAGAAUGGGAUGAACUCUUUCUGCUUCUGCAUAGAGGAACUCAGGAAACAGCAUGGUCCAUUGUCCACCUCACAGGAGUGAUCCCCACAGACCCGGGCAGACUCUCCAGCUGCGAGUUCAUCUUUAGGCAGUGCAACCUUCCUCUGGAAUUUCUGUAGGAAGCUAUAUUCUUGUUCUGGCUGGGGGGUUCUCAGGGGAUCCCCCAGUGCCUGGGGGGGUCGGUGAUAUUCAGGGCGGUUCCAGCUAAUCAACUUCACUUGUGAUGGAAAAAGCUAAUGUAAAAAGAGCAUCCAGAGAGAUCCCGUCAAAUGGCUAAUGUCUUAAAGCACAUUAAGGGGAAGGAAACUGGGGACUGCAAGGUGAGGCUUGCCUGAACUGCACAGUGAGACCUUGUCUCCAGAAAACAGAACAAAGCCUGCCAGGGCCUCUGUCUUGUUUUGUUUUGUUUUGUUUUGUUUUGUUUUGUUUUUUAACCUUCAGUACAUUGCUAUUGUAAAGAGAGGGUGGGACCCUCAUGGGCAGGGUACCACAGAGCCUAGGCAAGACUGGAAGGUCCUGGGCAGAGCUAUCGGCAGCACUUGAGCCUGGUGCCUGUCCAGUGCUCCGUGUGCUGCCCUCUAAGGUCGCUGUUUACAGGUAAAUAUUUCGACCAACAUUCGAAAGCAGGGGUACGGGAGUGAAAUCUGUAAAGUCAACCCCUCAAUCUUUCCCCUGGUCUGGCACCAGCCCUGCCUCAGCUUCCUGUUUGCAAUGGGGAGCCACCAGUGCAAAACUGAGAUAACAGCCAGCUCGCUCUUUUUUUUUUCUUUUUUAAUUCUCUCACUUUUUAGGUUAGUUCUUAUCCAAACCUCUUUCUAAAGCUUUCUAAACCCC